AAAUAAUCAUCUCUGAUUUCCUCUAGCGACGGUUUGUAUGAUUUGCCGCCAUACAGUUCUUACCGUUUGCAGUUGGAGGGUGGAGGAAGCUGUUGGCGCGAAACGGUUGGUUGUAAGAGAGUUACUUGAAGUUAUUUCAUCUGAACCAAAAUGCCUGCUAAGAAGGGUAAGCGUGCAGCAGCCAAGGGUGAGCCCGAAGAAGUGAAAACAAAAGUUGAAUCACCGGAAGAAAAUGAACCGACAGAACCGAAAAAGCCGCGAGCUGCUGCGAAGAAAGAAGAUUCAAACGAUGAAGCCGAAGAAGAGCCAGUGCCGGAAAAGGAGGCGAAAAGAGGCAGGGGCCGUCCGAAAAAAUUAGAUGCGCCAGAAAAAGCUCCAAAAGGUGAACCGAGGAAGAGGGGGCGCCCGAGGAAGGUAGCUAAAGAUGAAACGGAAGCUGCGGAAGAUUCUGCCGAAGAGGAUAAUGGCGUGGAGGAGAAGAAGGCGGCUCCUCGUAGUGCAGCCAAACCAGGAAGACCAAGCAAGAAACGUGGUCGUAAUGCGGCUGCUAAAGAAGAUAGUGAGGAAGAAUCUGAUGGCGCAGAUGAUAAAGAUUUGAAAAUUGCAGUGGAGCAUUGUAAAUCAUGAAGUAUUUUUCGCCGCAAGGCCUUGGAGCUCUCCGAAGCCUUGAGGACAGAGUGGCCCAAACUUGAAAUUACGUACAAUGAUUCUACCCCAAGACGAGGAGCAUUUGAAUUCGUUCUGAAGAAACCAGAUGGAAGUGAUAUUGUACUUUGGAGUGGAUUGAAGAAAGGUCCACCACGUAAGGAAAAGUUUCCAGAAUCCAACAUUGUCAUUGAAUCUCUAAGGAAAGCUCUCUGAAAUUCUUACGUCUGUGGUUUCCAGCGUAUGAUGGUGAAGCCAGAAAGAAUGUAAUGUUCCCUGCUGACACUGAUGCUUCUUGGAAGCCAACGAUACGGGAAUUUCAGUUUUUGCUGGUGUUUAAUAAAAUGCUUCUUGUCUAGUGAAGACUGUUUAGUUGUAAGUUAGAGACUUAUGUGGGCCACUUGAUUUCUUUGAAACAUUAGGUGAAGUUGCUGUGCUGCUACUCAAAUUGUUGAUUCCCUCUUUAAAAAGUGUUUUAAUACAGUUUUGUAGUGUUAGGUUUCUUAUGUUUUGUACUCAUUUUUUUAAAUUUGUGCUGUGUACAUUUCUUAUGUUUAAUAAAGAAUGUCUUAAACUUU